rnacentral:rRNA from 1 species
CGCUGGCGGCGUGCUUAACACAUGCAAGUCGAACGGGAAGACAUGAAGAGCUUGCUCUUUAUGAAAUCCAGUGGCAAACGGGUGAGUAACACGUAAACAACCUGCCUUCAGGAUGGGGACAACAGACGGAAACGACUGCUAAUACCGAAUACGAUUCUUGAGUCGCAUGACACAAGAAAGAAAGGGUGGCCUCUACUUGUAAGCUAUCGCCUGGAGAGGGGUUUGCGUCCGAUUAGGUAGUUGGUGAGGUAACGGCCCACCAAGCCGACGAUCGGUAACCGGUCUGAGAGGAUGAACGGCCACAUUGGAACUGAGACACGGUCCAGACUCCUACGGGAGGCAGCAGUGGGGAAUCUUCCGCAAUGGGCGAAAGCCUGACGGAGCAACGCCGCGUGAGUGAAGACGGCCUUCGGGUUGUAAAACUCUGUGAUUCGGGACGAAAGAUAAGCAGACGAAUAAUCUGCAUAAGUGACGGUACCGAAAAAGCAAGCCACGGCUAACUACGUGCCAGCCGCCGCGGUAA